rnacentral:rRNA from 1 species
GACGGGUGAGUAAUGCCUGGGGAUCUGCCCAGUCGAGGGGGAUAACUACUGGAAACGGUAGCUAAUACCGCAUACGCCCUACGGGGGAAAGCAGGGGACCUUCGGGCCUUGCGCGAUUGGAUGAACCCAGGUGGGAUUAGCUAGUUGGUGAGGUAAUGGCUCACCAAGGCGACGAUCCCUAGCUGGUCUGAGAGGAUGAUCAGCCACACUGGAACUGAGACACGGUCCAGACUCCUACGGGAGGCAGCAGUGGGGAAUAUUGCACAAUGGGGGAAACCCUGAUGCAGCCAUGCCGCGUGUGUGAAGAAGGCCUUCGGGUUGUAAAGCACUUUCAGCGAGGAGGAAAGGUUGGUAGCUAAUAACUGCCAGCUGUGACGUUACUCGCAGAAGAAGCACCGGCUAACUC